UACAGAGGGUGCAAGCGUUAAUCGGAAUUACUGGGCGCAAAGGGUGCGUAGGUGGUUUAUUAAGUUAUAUGUGAAAACCCUGGGCUUAACCUAGGAAUUGCAUAUAAAACUAAUAGGCUAGAGUGCGGUAGAGGGAAGUGGAAUUUCCGGUGUAGCGGUGAAAUGCGUAGAUAUCGGAAGGAACACCAGUGGCGAAGGCGACUUCCUGGACCGUUACUGACACUGAGGCACGAAAGCGUGGGGAGCGAACAGG
rnacentral:rRNA from 1 species